rnacentral:rRNA from 1 species
UGCUCAAGAGCUAGCCUAAAUAAAACUUCAACCUAAAAAAUUUCAUUCAAAGUAAAAAAAUCAAAAACCCAACAACAAAACAUUUUACCACCUUAGUACGGGCGACGGAAAAGGAAGAAUAGAGCAAAAGAAAAAGUACCGCAAGGGAAAGCUGAAAAAGAAAUGAAAUAACCCAUUUAAGCAAAGAAAAGCAAAGAUUAAAACUUGUACCUUUUGCAUCAUGAUCAAGCUAGAAAAACCAAUGCAAAGAGCCCUUAAGUGAUUUUCCCCGAAACUAAACGAGCUACCCUGGGGCCGCCCAUGCUGGGGCUAACCCGUCUCUGUGGCAAAAGAGUGGGGAGACCCCUGGGUAGAGGUGACAAGCCUACCGAGUUUAGUGAUAGCUGGUUUUCUAGGAAAAGAAUAGAAGUUCAGCCCUUAUUUAUCUUAAGUUAAACAUUAAUUAAAUUAACAAUGAAGGUAAAAAAGGAGUAAAUUGAAGGAGGUACAGCUCCUUCAAGUAAAAUACAACUCUCUCAGUAGACUAAGAAUUAAACAAAAAAAGGAAUGUCUUUUAGGUGGGCCUAAAAGCAGCCACCCCAAAAGAAAGCGUUAAAGCUCAAAUUAAGACCCUCCUCCCCUUUAUUUUAAUAACUUCCUCCGAUCUCACUUUUCUUACUAGAACAUUUUAUGCACCCAUAAAAGAGACUAUGCCUGAACGAGUAAUAAGAGAACACGAAUCUCUCCAAAGCACAAGUGUAAACCAGAACGAACAAAUCGCUGGAUAUUAACGGCCCCUAAGAAAAAGGGUAAUGUAACCUUAAUAAGUACCCAGAAGAAAUCUCAUAUACAACCGUUAACCCCACACAGGAGUGCAGAAAAGGAAAGACUAAAAGACAAGGGAAGGAACUCGGCAAACCCAAGCCCCGCCUGUUUACCAAAAACAUCGCCUCUUGAAUAAAAAUAUAAGAGGUCCUGCCUGCCCUGUGACUCUAAGUUUAACGGCCGCGGUAUCUUGACCGUGCGAAGGUAGCGCAAUCACUUGUCCUUUAAAUGGGGACCUGUAUGAACGGCAACACGAGGGCUUAGCUGUCUCCCCGCUCCAGUCAAUGAAACUGAUCUCCCCGUGCAGAAGCGGGGAUAACUCUACUAGACGAGAAGACCCUAUGGAGCUUUAGAAAAAAAACGACCAUUUAAGACUAAAUGAAAAAAAACACUAAAGUCAUUACACCCCCGUUUUUAUCUUUGGUUGGGGCGACCGUGGAGAAAUAAAAAACCCCCAUGAAGAAUAAGACAACUUCGUCUUUAAGCCAAGAGCCACAGCUCUAAGCAUCAAAAAAAUUUGACUAAAAGAUCCGGCUAAAAAUGCCGAUCAACGGACCGAGUUACCCUAGGGAUAACAGCGCAAUCUUCUCCCAGAGCCCCUAUCGACGAGAAGGUUUACGACCUCGAUGUUGGAUCAGGACAUCCUAAUGGUGCAGCCGCUAUUAAGGGUUCGUUUGUUCAACGAUUAACAGUCCUACGUGAUCUGAGUUCAGACCGGAGUAAUCCAGGUCAGUUUCUAUCUGUAAACUUGCUGCCCCCAGUACGAAAGGACCGGGACAGCGGGGUCCAUGCUAAAAGUAAACCCCCCCACCUUCUAUGGAAACCAAAUAAAAUAGGUAACGGGAGAGAACUCCCUAGCCAAAGAAAAUGGCUU